rnacentral:rRNA from 1 species
CCCGCUCAAGAAACGUUAAAGGAAGUUGACGGACCCCGCACAAGCGGUGGAUCAUGUUGUUUAAUUCGAUGAUACGCGAAGAACCUUACCAGGUCUUGACAUCCCCCGCGAUGCUUUAGAGAUAAAGCGGAGGUAUUCGGGGAGACAGGUGGUGCAUGGUUGUCGUCAGCUCGUGUCGUGAGAUGUUGGGUUAAGUCCCGCAACGAGCGCAACCCCUAUUGCUAGUUACCAUCAUUAAGUUGGGGACUCUAGCGAGACUGCCAGUGAUAAACUGGAGGAAGGUGGGGAUGACGUCAAAUCAUCAUGCCCCUUAUGACCUGGGCUACAAACGUGAUACAAUGGCUGGAACAAAGGGAUGCGAAGCAGUGAUGUGGAGCGAAACCCAUAAAAACAGUCUCAGUUCGGAUUGAAGUCUGCAACUCGACUUCAUGAAGUCGGAAUCGCUAGUAAUCGCGGAUCAGAACGCCGCGGUGAAUACGUUCUCGGGGUUU